UAUCAAUAAGCGGAGGAAAAGAAACUAACAAGGAUUCCCCUAGUAACUGCGAGUGAAGCGGGAAAAGCUCAAAUUUAAAAUCUGGUGGCCUUUGGCCAUCCGAGUUGUAAUUUAGAGAAGCGUCUUCCGCGCUGGACCGUGCACAAGUCUCCUGGAAUGGAGCGUCAUAGAGGGUGAGAAUCCCGUCUUUGGCACGGACUCCCGGUGCUUCUGUGAUGCGCUCUCGACGAGUCGAGUUGUUUGGGAAUGCAGCUCAAAAUGGGUGGUGAACUCCAUCUAAAGCUAAAUACUGGCGAGAGACCGAUAGCGAACAAGUACCGUGAGGGAAAGAUGAAAAGCACUUUGGAAAGAGAGUGAAACAGUACGUGAAAUUGUUGAAAGGGAAACGCUUGAAGUCAGUCGCGUCGACCGAGACUCAGCCUUGCCUCGGCUUGGUGUACUUCUCGGCUUGACGGGUCAGCAUCAAUUUCGAUCCUCGGAUAAUGGCAAGGGAAAGGUGGCACCUUUUUAGGUGUGUUAUAGUCCUCUGUCGCAUGCGAGGGUCGGGAUUGAGGAACUCAGCACGCGCCUCCGGGUGUCGGGGCCUCGGCCCACGUUACGUGCUUAGGAUGCUGGCGUAAUGGCUUUAAACGACC
rnacentral:rRNA from 1 species